UACAGAGGGUGCAAGCGUUGUCCGGAUUUAUUGGGCGUAAAGAGCUCGUAGGCGGUCUGUCGCGUCGGAUGUGAAAACCCAGGGCUCAACCCUGGGCCUGCAUUCGAUACGGGCAGACUAGAGUGUGGCAGGGGAGACUGGAAUUCCUGGUGUAGCGGUGAAAUGCGCAGAUAUCAGGAGGAACACCGGUGGCGAAGGCGGGUCUCUGGGCCAAUACUGACGCUGAGGAGCGAAAGCGUGGGGAGCGAACAGG
rnacentral:rRNA from 1 species